rnacentral:ncRNA from 2 species
ACAAACGCAUUGAUAGAGACAGUAUUCAUUUCAAUUCGACAAAGCGAUCCAGGGAUAGUGGGAGCCUGGUGAAGGAUGUUGUGAAGAAAUCACUCUUGAGCAGUUUUGGUGAACUGGAGUAGCCAAAACCGUCCACGCCACGUUACGGCGAUCGAGUGGCAGCUUAUUCGAGCUGCAACAAGGGUGGUACCGCGAGUUUAAGCUCCUCGUCCCUUUC